GCAGCAUUGUGCAACACUUACGGCCAUCAGCAACCUUAGGCCCUGCAGAACAUCAUGGGCAGCUAGAGGAGAUCAUCCCCUCCAAGAACAGCUGAUCAGCUAUGUCCUGGAUGAGCGUAGGCCUGUCAAAGAAAUACUUAUUAAAGAUGGUCCCACGUGUUUGACCAGGGCGAAUCUGAUAACUUUAGGGCUAAACCGAUUUAUGGACUCAAUGGUGGGAAAUGCCUGUUUGAGGCUUGUGAAGGAGAUGGUCGAUUUACAGGUAUGUAUAUUUUAGUGGGACCUAUCUGAGUUCUUUGUAGUACAACGAAGAAAGUAAGUCAAAUGUCUUUCUGUAGGGGAAAAUGUCUUUAUUAUCAGCCUCCACAUCCCCCCAACAUGGCUCCCACCCUUGA